AUUGAACGCUGGCGGCAUGCUUUACACAUGCAAGUCGAACGGCAGCACGGACUUCGGUCUGGUGGCGAGUGGCGAACGGGUGAGUAAUACAUCGGAACGUACCCAGUAAUGGGGGAUAACUAUCCGAAAGGAUAGCUAAUACCGCAUACGCCCUACGGGGGAAAGAGGGGGAUCGCAAGACCUCUUGUUAUUGGAGCGGCCGAUGGCUGAUUAGCUAGUUGGUGGGGUAAAGGCCUACCAAGGCAACGAUCAGUAGCGGGUCUUAGAGGACGAUCCGCCACACUGGAACUGAGACACGGUCCAGACUCCUACGGGAGGCAGCAGUGGGGAAUCUUGGACAAUGGGCGCAAGCCUGAUCCAGCAAUGCCGCGUGCGUGAAGAAGGCCUUCGGGUUGUAAAGCGCUUUUGUCAGGGAGCAAAUCCUUGUGGCUAAUACCCACCGGGGAUGAGAGUACCUGAAGAAUAAGGACCGGCUAACUACGUGCCAGCCGCCGCAGUAAGAC
rnacentral:rRNA from 1 species